CCCCCCCCCCCCCCCCCCCCCCCCCCCCCCCCCCAUAAAGAUCUCUUGUGCAUACUCUCUGAAGUUCUUGCAUGCAGCAGGCUUUAGCAUCUGCACAAUGGCUGCUCCAUCAAUGACUAUAUGGUGGUGGUAGGAGCCUCUGACCUUGCAUCUGAGAUCUCUUCAGAGCAUGUGAGUAGGUCGCUUUUUGUACCUAAGCGGAGACUCCAUCCAUCAGACAGUGCUGGAGGGCAUGCCUGAUUUUCAUGGCGAAAGAACUCGUCCAGGUUUCCAUCCCUCAUCUGACAGCUGAUGUAGAGCCGUGAGAAGAGUUGAGCAUUGUUCUUGAGGCAAGUGAGCUUAUGCUUCUCCUUGCUCACGUUCCUUCUUGGUUGAGCCUUGAACACUGAGCUUAUUUCGGUGAAUUGUGUUAGCAACUGGCUUGGUUCUUUCAACAAGGCAAUCCCUGGAGAAAGCCUGGAACUGCUUUAGGGCAAUCUCCCUUACCUUUCUGACUGCCUCAAUUGCAGGAGAACCAACAAUUUCUUUGGUAUCAAGAGCAACGAGAUCUGGGCUGUCUUCCUCAAAGGGGUUCCCGAGCUCUUCCAUGACUGACUAGUGACCGGAUAUCUUCACUGAAUGAGGCUUGGACACUGGUCGUCUGGUCAUGGUGGCGUAUGUUGUCUUCUCUUCCAGAGUGCUGGUUUCCAUGUUGAAACUCCCCCCCCCCCCCCCCCCCCCCCCCCCCCCCCCCCCCCCCCCCCCCCCCCCCCCCCCCCCCUCAGUGAGGCCAACUGCCCCACCAUCUCCUUUGAUGCAGGCAUUGUUCUGCUCGUGUGCCUGGUCUAUUGGGAUUGAUGAGAAGAUCUUUUGUCUUUUGUACCAUGAAGCUAUCUUCUCGAAACUUUCUGGCUACUUCUGGGUGCCUUCCAGGAAGUUCAGUCAUGUCCUUCAAGUGAACUGGAAUCCACCUGGCAUAGUUCAUGUUGUCCAUGGCAUGGAACCAACAGGCCAAUUCUGUCAGGGAAUCAAGGUACAUAGUGAACGAUGCUCGUCGCAGAGAACGUACAUACACAUUCAACAACAACUCCAAUUGACCAGUACUGGAACUGGGGAAUUUCCUGGUCAGAAGGUUCCCCCAGGUAUUGCGCUUUGCUUACUGAAGGGACCACUUCAAGUUCAGUACAGAAGUCGGUGUAUUGUUCAUAAAUGGAUGCAAGGUGUUCAGGUUUCUGUCAGUCAGUGAUGUUGUCUUUGACGUAGGAAUAAAUACAGUCAAUAGGAAACUUGGGAUUAACAGGCUCCUCAGCGAUGGGGGGCAGCCCAAAACUUUUCACCUAAUCCACCCUCCGGAUAUAUGUGGCACGACAACUGUGGUGAAACUGGGCUUCCUUAGCCAUCAGGUCAACCCCACUGACUUUUACAAGUAAACAUACUUGCUUGAGGGUAUGCACAAUCUCUAUAAUCUUUUGUGCUGCUUGCUUGGUUUGCAAUUUUCCUGGGAGCUCUUUUGUUCCGUCUGGGAGUUUUUUGAUCUUUUUGUCACAAAACAAACAUGCAUCAGGGAAAAUACCAAGAGUUGACACCCUUCUGCGAGACUUCACCACUAACAGUUGAAGCAGAUGAUGCAAGAGCGUAACACCUUUCUCUCUGGGCCUACAGUGUCAUUCCCAAUAGGCCUAGGUGGAGACUGAGUAGUAAUGGCUGUAAAGUUCUUGUAGCACUUGCUGUGGUACCCAUCAUCAUCUCCUGGAUGACUUGGCAAACGCCUCAACAACUGCUCUGUAUUUGGAAGAUUGGUAGUUCCUACUUCCCUUCCUGGCCCCAGCAGCACGCUGAACAACUGCCCAUUUCUCUUGCUGCCAGGGAAGUAACUUGCUUGUCUCGGUCAGAACAACAUGUAUAAGACACUUUGAAGUCAAUGACUGGUGGGCAGAUGCUGUGAAGGUAAGACAAAAGGGACACGUGUGGUGUGUCAUGAAUUUCUCAAUUACCGAAAUACAGAAUUACAGAAUAUGGACCGAUUGACAUUAUCAUUAUCAUAACCUACCAUUAUCAUUUCCUUGGCUUGCCAUUUUUAUGUGAGAUCAUCAGGAGCCCUUGAAUUAAUGAGUUUCUAAAGAGAAGAUAGGAAAAAUAAUAAUGUGAAGUUAUUAUAUAGCGCUUUAUAAUGUUGAACAUUCUCAAAGCGCUUCACAUUUAUGACCCACAUCUAUUGGCCUGUUAUUUCAAAGUUCUUUCUCCACUCCUUGGGGAGUAUUACAGCCCGGCUGCUGUUUUCAGCGCUCACUUCUCAUUCUCUGUCAGCCAAAUACCCAUUACUCCUGGGUGGGGAGAAGCAAGUUUGGUCAAGUGCCUUGCCCAAGGACACAAAGAAACAGAUGGUGAUCAGACUGGGAAUACGAACUCGGCAUUCCCGCUCCUGAGUCUGACACUGUGCCACUACACCACUGCUUCCCCUAAAAAAACAGUGCCAAUUCAUAUCUUUAGAUCAAUGAAAUUAACCCAUGGGCAUGGGAGUGUGGCAAAAUUGGCCGAAAUUGCAUCAGCGUCAUUGAAGACCUGAUGGAGGCCUUCUCGAAGAAUGCUUUAGAAGGUCAGUGUAGACCGAAAAUAAUAAGUACUGUACAUAUAGUACACUUUUGCUUACCUUUAGGAUAAGUGCAGCUUUCAGUGUUCUGUCUUUUUCAUGUCAAUGUUGCUUGGUCCAUAUGACUAGGCUGAGAAUAUUAGACUUGCAAUACCUUCAGUGAAAUCUUUGCCUCAUAUGUACUUUGUCAAAUGAAAAGAAAUGUCACGGAGUCUGGCUUCACUUUCACUUUUACACUCCACACGCAGUAGGUGUGGGUGACUGAAUGCACAGGGGCAGCCUGUACGUUCCAGUAAGAGUUGAUUAGUGGAUGACCUGAAUCUCACAGCAUGCAGGUAUAUAGCCAGUCGCCCCCGCAAGCACGAGGAUUAUAGUCCAUUUUCUGAGAUGUCGUCGCUGUGUGAUAUCGUCCUGAGCUAAAAAUAGUAACUUGAUGCUAGUUGGCCUGCAGAAAUGUGUUGUGUAUUGGGUGAAUGUGUAGCUGAACACCUGUGCCUCGGCAGAUGUGGCCUAGUGGUUGCCAGGGCCAAAUCCAAUAAGGAUUUGCUCGACCCUCCUUGGUCCUUUUGAGCCCUUCUUAAGCCGAAACGGGGGGG
ensembl:lincRNA